GACUUCCUUGUCUCGGGGAGCAUAGUGCGCAGUGAUCGUAAAGUGAGAGCACUGAUGCUGACAACCCAUUGAAACUACCCGCGUCCGGCUGCCGCAAGGGAGUCCGGACGCAAUUUUUGUACAG